CAAACACACCAUUUAUUAGAGAGUACAAGGAGUAUUAGUCAUCACACUUUACACUUUCAACAACACAAUUAAAUAUGAGGAAGCCAGCAUUAUGUUUAUAUUGAAUCUUUAUUUACUUUUACUAUUUUAUUUGAAUAGAUUGAUUAUUAUUUAAUGUUAAGUCUGAUGUUCAAUUGCUGCUCAAAUAUUAAUUUCAACAUUAAUUUCCCUUAAAUCUAUACAUUUUGGAUGAAUAAUUGAGUUGAAACAUUGUUAACACACGUAACUGGAUAAAUAUUUAGAAAUUUAACAGCACUUACUGUGCAGAUAACUCAUUUUGCUAUUUAAAUCCGUGACAGCGAAAAAAACAAUUAUCGUUAGAUCAGUUGCUGAGAUAGAUUUUACUAAGAAGGAUAAAAUAAUGUGUUCUGCAGUUGGCAAAUGGUCUAAAUGAAUCAGUUGAUGCUAUCCACUGCAUCAGCUGAAACAAUACGAUUACCAACACUGCUAAAUAUGCUUAUUACCAUUUAUAACUUAGUACAAGGAGUAUUAGUCAUCACACUUUACACUUUCAACAACACAAUUAAAUAUGAGGAAGCCAGCAUUAUGUUUAUAUUGAAUCUUUAUUUACUUUUACUAUUUUAUUUGAAUAGAUUGAUUAUUAUUUAAUGUUAAGUCUGAUGUUCAAUUGCUGCUCAAAUAUUAAUUUCAACAUUAAUUUCCCUUAAAUCUAUACAUUUUGGAUGAAUAAUUGAGUUGAAACAUUGUUAACACACGUAACUGGAUAAAUAUUUAGAAAUUUAACAGCACUUACUGUGCAGAUAACUCAUUUUGCUAUUUAAAUCCGUGACUACAAAAAAAACAAUUAUCGUUGGAUCAGUUGCUGAGAUAGAUUUUACUAAGAAGGAUAAAAUAAUGUGUUCUGCAGUUCGCAAAUGGUCUAAAUGAAUCAGUUGAUGCUAUCCACUGCAUCAGCUGAAACAAUACGAUUACCAACACUGCUAAAUAUGCUUAUUACCAUAUAUAACUUUUAGCGCUUUGGUAAAGACCAAGUACAUAGUCAGUCACACCACCUUCAGCCGGCACAAUGUGGGCAUUUCCACUGGUUAUGCUACUUUUCGGGAUGAAGGUGUCCAGUAAUUUGUUUUGUAUCUCAGUGACAGCAGCAUCAUUUUCAUCACACUGCAGUAAUCCACGUGUCUCAUGGUAGAAAACGUUGACAUGCAACACAACAUUGGCGUGAACAUCCCAUGUUUUCAUAGUUGACGUUGCCUUGACUUGGUGUGUGUGGUGCAUCAACA
ensembl:lncRNA